rnacentral:rRNA from 1 species
GACGAACGCUGGCGGCGUGCUUAACACAUGCAAGUCGAACGAUGAAGCCGGAGCUUGCUCUGGUGAAUUAGUGGCGAACGGGUGAGUAACACGUGAGUAACCUGCCCUUGACUCUGGGAUAACUGCUAGAAAUGGUAGCUAAUACCGGAUACGACCCUCGGAGGCAUCUCCAGGGGGUGGAAAGAAUUUCGGUCAAGGAUGGACUCGCGGCCUAUCAGCUAGUUGGUGAGGUAAAGGCUCACCAAGGCGACGACGGGUAGCCGGCCGGAGAGGGUGACCGGCGACACUGGGACUGAGACACGGCGCAGACUCCUACGGGGGGCAGCAGUGGGGAAUAUUGCACGAUGGGCGCAAGCCUGAUGCAGCAACGCCGCGUGAGGGAUGACGGCCUUCGGGUGGUAAACCCCUUUUAGCAGGGAAGAAGCGAAAGUGACGGUACCUGCAGAAAAAGCACCGGCUAACUACGUGCCAGCCGCCGCCGUAA